GGCCCUAUCGUCUAACGGUUAGGACACGGGCUUUUCAAGCCCGGAAUCGGGGUUCGAUUCCCCGUAGGGUCA
rnacentral:tRNA from 3 species